rnacentral:rRNA from 1 species
AGCGAACGCUGGCGGCAGGCCUAACACAUGCAAGUCGAACGAAGCCUUCGGGCUUAGUGGCGGACGGGUGAGUAACACGUGGGAACGUACCUUUUGGUUCGGAACAACUCAGGGAAACUUGAGCUAAUACCGGAUGAGCCCUUCGGGGGAAAGAUUUAUCGCCAUUAGAGCGGCCCGCGUUAGAUUAGCUAGUUGGUGAGGUAGAGGCUCACCAAGGCUACGAUCUAUAGCUGGUCUGAGAGGAUGAUCAGCCACACUGGGACUGAGACACGGCCCAGACUCCUACGGGAGGCAGCAGUGGGGAAUCUUGCGCAAUGGGCGAAAGCCUGACGCAGCCAUGCCGCGUGAAUGAUGAAGGUCUUAGGAUUGUAAAAUUCUUUUACCAGGGACGAUAAUGACGGUACCUGGAGAAAAAGCCCCGGCUAACUUCGUGCCAGCCGCCGCGGUAACAC